CCUACGGGAGGCAGCAGUGGGGAAUAUUGGACAAUGGGGGGAACCCUGAUCCAGCCAUGCCGCGUGUGUGAAGAAGGCCCUCGGGUUGUAAAGCACUUUCAGUGAGGAAGAACGCCUGGUGGUUAAUACCCAUCAGGAAAGACAUCACUCACAGAAGAAGCACCGGCUAACUCCGUGCCAGCAGCCGCGGUAAUACGGAGGGUGCGAGCGUUAAUCGGAAUUACUGGGCGUAAAGCGCGCGUAGGCGGCUUGAUAAGCCGGUUGUGAAAGCCCCGGGCUCAACCUGGGAACGGCAUCCGGAACUGUCAAGCUAGAGUGCAGGAGAGGAAGGUAGAAUUCCCGGUGUAGCGGUGAAAUGCGUAGAGAUCGGGAGGAAUACCAGUGGCGAAGGCGGCCUUCUGGACUGACACUGACACUGAGGUGCGAAAGCGUGGGUAGCAAACAGGAUUAGAUACCCCGUGUAGUC
rnacentral:rRNA from 1 species